GAGCCUGUUCCUCCUCCUCCGAGAAGCCUUCCUUACCGGGCAAGUCCCAGACUCUCCUUGGGCUCUCCUUUGCUCCCACAGCCCAGUCCUGGGAAGGUCAGCUAGCUUGGGGUGCUUGCCUGCAUGUCCUCAAGUGUGAUCUCCUGGAGAAGCCCUCUAUGGCCAGAAAAGGCUGGGGCGGGGGGCCGGAGGGGGGUGUCUUACAGGGGUGCUUACAGUAACUGAAAAUGAUACUGCUCUGGAGUCAGCUGUCUGGGCUCCAGUCCCGGCUGUGCUCGGGCUAGCGCUGUGAACUUGGGCGGGUGGCUUGACCUCUCUGAACCUCAGCUUCUUCACUGGUAGAGCCACCUCUCCCCCAACCCCUCCCUCUUGACAACAGCGUUAAAUAAGAAUGGAACACACGCCCCAUAAUAGGUUUUCGCUGACUUUAUUUACUCACUCUUGAAUAAAUUACUAUUGCUUCUGUUGUUGUGGUCCUGCUGAAUCUCUUCCUAGUACAGGUGGGAUAAUUAAGGCUUGAUAAGGAGAACUAAACAGGUCAAGGUCGCGCGGCCAGUCAGUGAUGGAGCGCAACCCUAGCUGAGAACAAUUAGUUACCACUCCCAGGCAGAGGACUUGCCCUCUGUUCACCCCACCCACCAUCCCACUGCCCCCACCUGUCCCUGCUCUCAGUCUCUGGUCACCGUCCCAGGCAUCAGUAUCCCAAGGGCUCCCUCAAUAUCCCCAUCCACAGUUAUGCUACCAGGCUCUGCCCUUCCCCACUCAAGUGAGUCAUCGUCCAGCCUCCCUGUGGGCCCAAGUUUUGGGUGUGGCCACCUUAUUGGGGAAGCCUCCAAUUGGGGAAGGAGGAGGGAGGAGAAAGAGACUUGAGCCUUUCCUUGGGGAUUCCAGGCCAAGUGAGGAGAAGAGGACUGGAGGAUGGAGCAGGAGUCCAUAAUGGAAACUUGAAGGGAAAGCAGCUGAGGCCCCAGAAAGAAGCGAGGAGUACCCUGGGUCUGCAGAGGCUUUCUUUUCUUGUCUCUACCAUUCCCUGCCUCCAUCUUCGGCACACUGAGGAGUCGGUGUGUAGUACUCUUCCGCCGCAGGAGGACCCCUACAAACGGGCUGUAUUGUGUAAGUUCAAGAGCCAUAUUGCGCAUGCCCUGCUAGGGGCUCGUUCACUGCCCCGGAUGUGGCUCCAGGUCCUGUUAGGGCAGAAGCCCGCACCUGUCCACCUGCCCUCCUCUCCCCCUCGCAGAUCCCACAGUCAAGGCCAGGUCCCAGUUGCUGUUGCUCCAGGUUCUUCGGAGCCUGACUUGGCUGCCUUGAAAAUAGCAGUGCACCCGGCCCAACCUAAGUCCUGACUUCAACACAGGGCCUCGGCAAGCACGGAGGUGUGGAAAUUACACAUAAUUCGUGUGGGAGGAGACAGCAAGCGUGAGGCAUGGAGACAGCCGUUCCCAGAAAAGCAGCUCAGGAUAAUAGGGGGCCUGUGACAGGCUGAGCCCCAACUUGGUGUCAUGCAAACGAUGCUGAUAAUUAUAUUAAAAGUAGUGCAAACAGAACGUUCUUUGACGACCAACUUUGGGAGCAGGUUGGCAGCUGAUGAGAUCAUCCUUCGCCAUGGCUAAUGGGAGCAUUGUCUGCAAGGAAUUGGCCGGGCAUCAGGCCCUCCAGGCCCUGAGCAGGAGCUGGGAGGAUAGUUGGAGCCGACAGGAUGGGGUUGACCCAAGGCCUUGCGUGCGCUCAGGGGCUGAUUUGCAUAAUCAGGUUUCUCUUGCUGCAUAACAAGUUUCCACAAAUUUAGGAGCUUAAAACAACACACAAAGAUUAUCUCAUAGUCUCCCUGGGGCAUGAAUGCAGACGGGUGGGGGGGGGGGGCGGGGGUGUUGGUGGUGGUGGUCUGCUGCUCAGGGUGUCCCAAGACUGUAAUGAGUGUCAUCUGGGCCUGAGGGCUUGUCUGAGGCUUGGGAUCUUCUUCCAAGAUUGUCGGCAGAGUCUGUCCUUCAUGGUCGCAGGACUGGGGCCGUCAGCUUGCAGAGGGCUCCCACCGCCCCCACCAGGCAGCCCUCUUCACAACAUGGCGGUUUGCUUCUUCAAGGCCAACAGGAGAGAAACGGCUGCCUCUGUGUCUCUAACUUCUAGACCCUCUUUUAAAGGGCUCGUCUGAUUAGCUCAAGCCAUCUCAGGAAAAUCUCCCUUUUGACAAACUUAAAAUCAACUCAUUAGGGACUUUAAC
rnacentral:lncRNA from 1 species